ensembl:lncRNA
GUCAGCAGCCUCCGCGCCUCCACUCGCAGUCCUCUCGCAGAACUCUGCUGUCACACGCACUGGCAAGGUCUCAGUGGCUCGUGCUCCCACAGGAAGACGUUCGCACCUCGAGAGUCGCCAGCAAGACUCAGCGCGGGCUGGGCCCGCUGGGGAUGGGUAGGAAUGCGGCCCACUGUGAGGUCACGGGGUGACUGUGACUCUCCGGUGCCAUCACGAAGCACACAGAUAGGUGGAGGUUUGCUGCCCCGUGGCUAUUGCGUCAGUAUUUGGGGCAUUUGCCUGCCAGAGUGCACCCGAGGACUUUCACUGGGACGUUUUCCCAAGCAGUGACAAAUAAAGGAUUUCUUGAAGCAAGCAGUAGAGCAGCUUUGGUGUUGCCGUUGAUCAGUGCAGU